UGCGUAGGCUGCGCGGAAAGUUGGGUGUGAAAUCCCUCGGCUCAACCGAGGAACUGCGCCCAAAAUUGCCGUGCUCGAGGAAGAUAGAGGUGAGCGGAACUUACGGUGGAGCGGUGAAAUGCGUUGAUAUCGUAAGGAACACCCGUGGCGAAAGCGGCUCACUGGGUCUUUUCUGACGCUGAUGCACGAAAGCUGGGAGGCAAACG
rnacentral:rRNA from 1 species